UACACUGACACAAGGCCUCCAACUACCAAAUCCGUUAUUUAUAGAAGGAUCCAAGGAAGAACAACCUAGUAGUAUAAGAAGAAAUUACAUAUUUCUCAAGGGAGUCCUCCAGUAAUAAUUAAGUGUUUUCCUUUUUAGCUAGUUUUCGUAUAAUUUUCUUGAGUAUUCUUUCUAGCAAGUGUAGUUUUAGAAACUUCUUGUAAGGCCUUUUGGAUUGCCCAACUUGUUUCUACGUUUGAAUUUAAGAGUUUGAAUCAUAAUAUUAAGCUACAAGAAUAUGUCNNNNNNNN
rnacentral:lncRNA from 1 species